GGCCUCGUAGCUCAGUUGGCAGAGCAUUGGAUUAGUAUCCCAAAUGUCGCGGGUUCGAUUCCCACCGUGGUCA
rnacentral:tRNA from 1 species